UCCUGAUGCUUGUUGUUGAUCGAGUUUAUUGGUCGGGCAAACAUAGCCUGGAUAAAUUUCUUUGCCCGUUCGGGGCUCUGUGCUAUCAUAAUCUAGGGGUCCGGGUGGUGCUCGGAUCUGGUUGAACUUGAACUCAUCGGAAGGUGUAUCGUCGCACCCUUGUCUCUUGUGCUCCUUCCUCUCUUUCAUAGUGAACAAUCUCGUGCCCAAGGCGUUCGCAGUAGACAUAAAGUUCUUGGAGCCCUUUGUAUUCGAAUGUUAUAUUUUGGGACCCUUCCCCAUCAGGUACUUGGAGUAGGAAUCCUAGAUUCAAUGGGUCAUUGGCUGUGAUGU
rnacentral:lncRNA from 1 species